rnacentral:rRNA from 1 species
AUACGUAGGUGGCAAGCGUUGUCCGGAAUUAUUGGGCGUAAAGCGCGCGCAGGCGGUCCUUUAAGUCUGAUGUGAAAGCCCACGGCUCAACCGUGGAGGGUCAUUGGAAACUGGGGGACUUGAGUGCAGAAGAGGAAAGUGGAAUUCCAAGUGUAGCGGUGAAAUGCGUAGAGAUUUGGAGGAACACCAGUGGCGAAAGCGACGUUCUGGUCUGUAACUGACGCUGAGGCGCGAAAGCGUGGGGAGCAAACAGGAUUAGAUACCCUGGUAGUCCACGCCGUAAACGAUGAGUGCUAAGUGUUAGGGGGUUUCCGCCCCUUAGUGCUGCAGCUAACGCAUUAAGCACUCCGCCUGGGGAGUACGGUCGCAAGACUGAAACUCAAAGGAAUUGACGGGG